rnacentral:rRNA from 3 species
AACAGGGAUUGCCUUAGUAACGGCGAGUGAAGCGGCAACAGCUCAAAUUUGAAAGCUGGCUCCUUUGGAGUCCGCGUUGUAAUUUGUAGAGGAUGAUUCGGCAAGGGCUCCCGCCUAAGUCUCCUGGAACGGAGCGUCAUAGAGGGUGAGAAUCCCGUAUGCGGUGGGCUGCCUAAGCCAUGUGAAUCUCCUUCGACGAGUCGAGUUGUUUGGGAAUGCAGCUCUAAAUGGGAGGUAAAUUUCUUCUAAAGCUAAAUACCGGCCAGAGACCGAUAGCGCACAAGUAGAGUGAUCGAAAGAUGAAAAGCACUUUGGAAAGAGAGUUAAAAAGUACGUGAAAUUGUUGAAAGGGAAGCGCUUGCAGCCAGACUUGUCCGCAGUUGCUCAGCCGGUCUCCUGACCGGUGUACUCUUCUGCGGCCAGGCCAGCAUCAGUUCGGGCGGUCGGAUAAAGACCUCGGGAAUGUAGCUCCUCUCGGGGAGUGUUAUAGCCCGGGGUGGAAUGCGGCCAGCCUGGACUGAGGAUCUCGCUUCGGCUAGGAUGCUGGCGUAAUGGCUGUAAGCGGCCCGUCUUGAAACACGGACCAAGGAGUCUAACAUCUAUGCGAGUGUUUGGGUGUCAAACCCAUGCGCGUAAUGAAAGUGAACGGAGGUGGGAACCCUCACGGGUGCACCAUCGACCGAUCCUGAUGUCUUCGGAUGGAUUUGAGUAAGAGCAUAGCUGUUGGGACCCGAAAGAUGGUGAACUAUGCCUGAAUAGGGUGAAGCCAGAGGAAACUCUGGUGGAGGCUCGCAGCGGUUCUGACGUGCAAAUCGAUCGUCAAAUUUGGGUAUAGGGGCGAAAGACUAAUCGAACCAUCUAGUAGCU